rnacentral:rRNA from 1 species
UCUUGCGCAAUGCGCGAAAGCGUGACGCAGCAACGCCGCGUGGGGGAAGAAGGCUUUCGGGUCGUAACCCCCUUUCAGGAGGGACGAAGCCCGGACGGUGAAUAGCCGAUUCGGGUGACGGUACCUCCAGAAGAAGCCCCGGCUAACUACGUGCCAGCAGCCGCGGUAAUACGUAGGGGGCAAGCGUUGUCCGGAAUCAUUGGGCGUAAAGAGCGUGUAGGCGGUCCGAUAAGUCGGCUGUGAAAGUCAAGGGCUCAACCCUUGUAUGCCGGCCGAUACUGUCGGGCUAGAGUCCGGAAGAGGCGAGUGGAAUUCCUGGUGUAGCGGUGAAAUGCGCAGAUAUCAGGAGGAACACCAAUGGCGAAGGCAGCUCGCUAGGACGGUACUGACGCUGAGACGCGAAAGCGUGGGGAGCAAAC